rnacentral:rRNA from 1 species
GAUGAACGCUGGCGGCGUGCCUAAUACAUGCAAGUCGAACGAAUCACACCGAGACCUUUUGAAGUGCUUGCACUGAUUUAGUAAUUGGAUUUCGUGAUUAGUGGCGGACGGGUGAGUAACACGUGGGUUACCUACCACACAGUAUGGAAUAACUAUUGGAAACGAUAGCUAAUACCGUAUAUGACCUUCGGGUUGAAAGGGGCGUUUGCCUCGCUGUGUGAUGGGCCUGCGGUGCAUUAGCUAGUUGGUAAGGUAAAGGCGUACCAAGGCGACGAUGCCUAGCCGGAGUGAGAGACCGAUAGGCCACGUUGGGACUGAGACACGGCCUAAACUUCUACGGGAGGCAGCAGUAGGGAAUUUUCCGCAAUGGACGAAAGUAUGACGGAGCAAUGCCGCGUGAGUGAUGAAGGUUUUCGAAUCGUAAAGCUCUGUUGUAAGGGAAGAAUAGCGAGGGUAGGAAAUGCCCCUCGUGUGACGGUACCUUACCAGAAAGCCACGGCUAACUACGUGCCAGCCGCCGCAGUAA